AGGAAACACAUUGUUGGAAUGACUGGUGAUGGUGUCAAUGAUGCUCCUGCAUUGAAGAAAGCUGACAUUGGUAUUGCUGUGGCCGAUGCUACAGAUGCUGCUCGUGGUGCUUCAGAUAUUGUUCUCACUGCACCUGGAUUGAGUGUUAUCAUCAGUGCAGUGCUCACUAGCAGAGCUAUCUUCCAGAGAAUGAAGAACUACACCGUGCACAUUCUCUUAGUUUUUUUCUUACAUUAUGCCCACUAUUUGUGUUCGCUUGCACCAAUAUCUAACAUCUUUUUCUUGCUUAUGACAGAUUUAUGCAGUGUCAAUCACAAUCCGUAUUGUGGUAAGUAGACACUCCAUUUAGAUAUCUAUCUCUUAUUACCAUGAUCUUUCUUUUGUGUACUGAUUAUAUUGCGAUAUACUUUGUGCAGUUUGGUUUCAUGCUUAUUGCUCUGAUAUGGGAAUUUGACUUUUCAGCGUUCAUGGUUCUGAUUAUUGCCAUCCUUAAUGACGGUGAGCAAAUGGCUUUACUUUACUAUAUAGACUUCUAAUACUUUAUCUGCAUUAUCUUAUCUUAUGGUAUUGAUUGUUGCUAUCUUUUAGGUACCAUCAUGACAAUCUCAAAGGAUAGAGUCAAGCCAUCUCCCACACCUGAUAGCUGGAAGCUCAAAGAAAUUUUCGCCACCGGAAUUGUGCUUGGAGGUUACCAAGCCGUUAUGAGUGUUGUUUUCUUCUGGUCGAUUCACAAGACCGACUUUUUCUCCGUAAGCUUCAUCAGCUCAUUUUCUUUUCAUCUUUUGUGUAAAGAUNNNNNNNNNNNNNNNNNNNNNNNNNNNNNNNNNNNNNNNNNNNNNNNNNNNNNNNNNNNNNNNNNNNNNNNNNNNNNNNNNNNNNNNNNNUUUUAAAGUUACCUGUUGGCGAUUACCAUUACGGAUAGCUCUCUGCUGCGGUGAGUCCUCAUCAGCUAUAACGAAGAGAUUUGAGAUUUCUUUCAAGGGGAAAAGAUAAAGAACAAUGAGAUUCUUUUGUACCUAUCAAACUUGGAGGUUCGAGAUCACCAGGCGGGUUAAGUUUGACCCACUCGUCCACUGUCUCCUUCCAUUUUCUAGCAGACACAAAAGUGAGUUAGUUGUUUCUUGUUCGAAUUUGAGAUUUGAGCAAGAGAGAAAGUUCUUGUGAAUCUGAUCGUAACUUGACAAGUUUUUUAGCUAGUGUCCGAACAUCGUUCGAUGAAUGCUUCCGAACUUUAUUCACAUGCCUCCCAAUAUCAGUUUCCUAAAGCGACCAAAACAUCAUAUAAACUAUGAAUAAAGAAAGCUAAGAGAGAGUGUUAGUAUUCGAAUUUGACUUCACUACCUGGAGAGCUUGGAAUGUUAUCUCCAUAUCAUCCAGAUUCUGAAGCAGCUCAACCAAAUCUUCUUCCGACUUAAAAACAACAAACAAACCAAAACACUCUUCAAAAACUGAAACCGAAUCUAGAUUCAAGAGAGAUAUUAAGAAGACCAACCAGAUCAGGAUCUUCAAGCCUCUCCUUGAUUUCAAGAACACUCUUCUGCUCAUCAUCAAACAAACCAGCAAACGGAUCGUAACCAUCAUCCUCCUCAUCAUCAUCCUCGCCAUUAACUGAUUUCUCUCUUACUUCUUCUUCCUCCUCCUCCUCGUGAACACUCCCAUUAGCCCUAGCAACCUCUCCUCCGCCUCCACCGAAGUCGCAGUUCCUACACUUGUUAGCCAUGGAGGUCGCGUAGAGACGCUCGACGAUGUUAUCUCUCCGCCGCUUCAGCUCUUGACCGUAAUCAAGGGAGGCAACGAGGAUCGCUGUAUCUAUAAAUGUCCAGACAUCGACGCCUGCGUUAUCCAUAACCGACCGAAAAUCAUCCAAAUCCAUCACCAAAGUUCGUUACUUUACAGAAAUAGAAAAAAAAAACAGAGGAGACGACGAGAUCUACAAAAACGGAUCUUUCUGAUGAAUUCAAUUCAUCGUGAGAUUGAAAAUCCAACAGAGUUUGGACUCAAUUCAAUCGGAAUCAGAUUAAAUCCGAUGAAAAAGGCAGACCCUUUGAUUGAUGAAUCUGUAUUAUUAUUACAGGAAAACAGAGAAGAAGAAGAAAAAAACAGAAACAGAGAAAAAUGGGAGAAGAAAGGGAAUAUUCCAAGUUUGAGUCUUUUAGAAUAUGUUUUUUUUUUUCUUUUGUUCGGUAAAAAUAUUCUUCAGACAAAACCAAUCACAAGUUAAAAGAAAAGGAGAUUUGCUUUAAUCAGGAUGCUCUUGUCCUGGACAGAGCAAAGCUGAAGCGCAAGUUGGUAUGUUCUGGUUGGGGAGAUGAACAUACAGCUAGAGAGAGAGAGAGAGAGAGAGAGGCGUGUGUUUUUCAAUAAUGGCGUUUACUUUUUUUUAGUAUUUUUUUCUUUGAUUACAUACUUUAGUUAAUGGGCCUUUAAAUUGUUGGCCCAAAAUAAGUGGAGGCGAAACGGGAAAUUAAUAAAAUAGAUGUUUAUACACAUUUAACUAAUGGGCCUUUUACUUACGGACCCAUUUAAGUGGAUGACAAUGCUUUGGAUCGAUUAUCAACGUGUACUAACUCCUGCCAUUGAUGUCUUUAUGAGCCCACUUGCUGUUUUUAGUUUAAAUCUCAGAUGGACCCAUUAGCUGGCGUAGAGGAUGCGUACUAUCAUUAAAACAUCAGAGUAAGUAUAACUAUCAUCUGACUUGCUACUUUAUGUUUAGCAUGUCUCAUUGAAUAUGUGACGCAGAGGUGCAUUAAUUGUUACUUUCUUGAAAGGUUUACUGUUGGAGACAUCUUUGGUUUACAGCUCGGCAAGACCUGGAAGGAUUCUCUACGCUUGUGGCUCGUAAACUCUAUAAUCAAUGGUUGGUAUGAUUAGUUCUGAAAACUUUUUAAAUUUGUUUUAGUUCAGUUUAUUGAACUGGGAACAACAAAGACUCAGUGGUUCUGACACAUACAACGGUCAAGAGGCCGGCCAAAUCAAAGACACGGAGACAGAAGAAGCUUGUUUGAUGUGGGCUCCUCCUAUGUACUAUAUCUCAUCGGGUAAGCUUUCAGUUUAUGAACCAUUUCUUUAAUGGUGAGUCUUUGGAUAUGAAUUUGUUUAUCUAAGUGAUUAUGUUUAAGUACUAUUCUAAAUAUGUUUUACAUGUAAGGGCUGGGGUAUCAAAAUGUUUUUCAAAAGGCUAAUAACAAUGUGAUAGUGUAUCCAUUAGUUAUCUUACAGACAUUAGGAAUGUAAUGUCCCUUUCAAACAUAUUGUCAACACCUUUUCGUGAAAUUUGGACUUUUACUGGAAGCAUCCGGUGAGUUAGCAGUGGCCAUACGUCUUAAUAAUUAUCAAAUGGAUUUAUCCAACAGCCGCCAGUCAUUUUGGCUACAUGCUUGUUGGUGAUUAUCCGAGUUUAUCAAAAUCAUUUCACAAUUAAAAAAUAUUUGCAUUGAGGGUUGGUAAUUCAGCUCGUUUGUGUGUAUACCCAACUUUAUAAGUGAGCAGUCUAGUUAAGAUCAAGUCUAUCUCAUCUAUGAAUUCAUGUUUAAAUUUACAUCUGUAAAACCAAAACUAGACAAUAUAUAAUAAACAUCCCUAAACAUCAAACACUAAUUAAACAGUAAACACAUAAUACUAGUAAAAACCAAUAAUCCUUGGAAUCAAUCUCAGUCCAGUAAUAAUUACAAACUUAAGCAAAUAAUCAAUAAAUAAAAGCUAAAUUUAAAAGUGUCUCUAUUAACACCUAUCAAACCAAACUUUAUGUUUGGCCAUCAAUUUCUACAUAUUGAAAUGAGUGGUUUUAAGUCAUCUCACGAUUCAAGUCUGUAAACAUCCCCGUUCUCUUUCUAAUAAAUUUCCACCAUGCUCAUCGAUUUAUAGUAUACACUUAUAUUUUAUCAUACUCCAAUGUUUAUAAUCUAUAGUUCUUAUAAUCGAAUUAAAUUGAUUAGGUUAUGUUCUACACCCCCUAUUGAAGAUAUAACUAAUCUUAAUCUCAAUUUCUUAUGAAAAGUACUUAUAAAAAACUAAUCAUACUUGUAGUUCGUUUGUAAAAAUAAUAUAUAUAAUCAACAUUCUUUUUUGGCUAAAUUCAGGAAGAAAAUAUAUAAAAUGUGGCACCGACAGUUUAUAAUUUUAAUUUUCCAUAAGAGCAGGUGGCCCAAGGAUUUGGAGAAAAUAGUACAGAGAAUGCAAUUCCAGUCGAACAUGGAAUGUGACAUAUGAUGUUUUAACCCAUUAAUAAAUGUUUUUUUUGUUUCUCUUCUUUAAAUUCCAAUUUUAGUUUUAAGCUAACACUUUCAAAAUACGUAAGUUUCUUUCUCAACUUACUCAUAUAUCGAUUGUCGGCAAAUGUAUACAUAUGAAUGCAUAGUGUAUAUACUUGAGGUGACAUGAUAGUCUCAAUAAGUGUACAUUUUUUCCUCUCGUACCAUUUUCUAUAUGGUCAACAGUGCAUUAACAGAAGGAAAGACAAAUGUUGAAUAGUGGUGGGCGGAUCCAGUCUGAUUAUAGAUCUAGGGAAGAGUUAAUGAAUAGAAUUAUAAUAUUAAGUACGUAUUUAACGCAAGGGAAUGAAACCAUUGAUAUAAAAGAUAGUACUCACUUACAAAAUUGUAAACGGCUAAAAGGUAUAAAACCAAUGCGGUCAACAACAUCUAUACUAUAUUAAAAGGGUUAUAUGAGCAUCAGAGAGAAUGUCCACGUAGGACAAUUAAAUCAUCCAAUCAGAAGACUCCUUUUUGACAUGUCAGCACGAAUUUAUAAAUGUGGGCUUUGUUAUUUUUUUAAUCCCAGAUGUUGAUGUUAAAGUCCAUUCCCUUUGCUCUUCGCCUUCUUCGUUUCACUUUUCACGAUCUGAAAUCUGAAAGGAGAGAUUCGACGUUGUCCUUUGCUCUUCCUCUUCUUCGUUUCCUUUCAUCAUUUUCUAUAUCAAGAAAUCCAUGGCUACGUAGAUGCUAUAUCAAGAUAACCCCUUCGCUCAGACGAAUCCUUAUGUCUCUUCCUCCCCCAAUCUCUACCCUCCCGUCUCCUCGAGCCCUAACCACGACGACUCAUCCAACAACCAACCACCGUCUGCUCCGCCGCAGGCUGUGGAAGAGGUUCACAUCCGAGUCCCCGGCGCAAUCCCAACCUCAUCGACAAAUCAUACAGCGUGGAGCUCGCGUGCGGCGAUCUCACCAUCGUUCGAAUCGUGCAGGGAGAGAGCAUCGUCGCCAUUCUCGCCAACGUCGCUGACGAGAUCCAGUGGCCGUUAACGAAACGCGAGGUUGCGACCAAGGUUGAUGGAUCGCAUUACUUCUUCUCGAUCCAUCCGCCGAAGGAAUCAUGAUCCGAUUCGGAUGAUGAGAUGAUAAACUACGGAUUAACCAUUGCUUCGAAAGGGCAAGAGAACGUGUUACAUGGGCUUGAUCACGUUCUUAGGGACUAUUGCUGUUUCGUGGGGCAGAGGAUGUCUGAGAAGGCGAAGGGUGAAGAGGGUGAAGAGGUGCUUGGAAACUCAAUGGCUGCUGCGACUUUUCCCGAGGAGUUGAAGGGUGAGAGGAAGGACAUUGUGGAGGGUCAAUGCGCGGCGUAUUGGACCACGCUCGCGCCUAACAUUGAGGAUUACAGUAGCAAGACUGCUAAGAUGAUAGCUUCUUGGUCAGGUCAGCUGAUCAGAGGGAUACUUUGGUGUGGGGAUGUGACUGUGGAGAGGCUUAAGAGGGGGAACGAGGUUAUGAAGAAUAGGCUGAGUCGUGCUGAGAAGGAGAAAGAUGUUAGUCCUGAGACGUUGAGGAGAAUCAAGAGGUAUGGUGAUGUUUAAUAUCAUUUGUAGUAAGAGAUGCUUCUGUGUUCUAAAGAAAGGUUGAGACUUUUUAAUAUAUAUAUAAAUAGUCAAUGUGCUUUGUUAUGGUAGUUUUUAUUGAACGAACAAAUUGUUUGCUUGUGCUAAUUUCUAUGUAAAAGGGUUAAGAGAGUGACACAAAUGACGGAGAAAGUGGCGACUGGUGUUCUUUCUGGGGUUGUCAAAGUCUCUGGACUCAUCACUAGCUCGGUGGCUAACUCAAAGGCUGGGAAGAAGUUUUUUGGCCUCUUGCCUGGAGAGAUCAUUCUUGCAUCCCUCGAUGGAUUUAGUAAGUAUAUUACUUGAUUUUGGGUUUCCCACAUUUUAUAUCCCAUGGUUGGAGGGUCUUGGACAAACUUAUUGAUCAUGAAUUGUAUUGCUUUCUUUCUUUCAUCAACAUUUACAAUCAUGCUUUUUUAUCCAUAUUUAUUUCUGAUGAUUAUUAGUUUUUUCUUUCCUAAUUACGUUUCCAGAUGACAACUUGCUAUUGGUAAGGAAACCGGUCGCAGGCUUGGAAUGCGAACCAACAUGUAUCCAUCUGCAGCUCUUCUUGGUACUGUCAAGGACUCCAACAUUGCAUCCAUUCCUGGGAGUUGAUUGAGAAGGCUGAUGGGUUUGCUAGGGUCUUUCCAGGUUAUAACUUGCUUCUUAAACCUCACCAUAUGUUCAUUCGAAAAGGCUUUGUUAUAUUGAUCCAAGCUUCUUAUCUUCUGAUUCCAGAGCACAAAUAUGAAAUUGUGAACAAGCUGCAAGAGAGGAAACACAUUGUUGGAAUGACUGGUGAUGGUGUCAAUGAUGCUCCUGCAUUGAAGAAAGCUGACAUUGGUAUUGCUGUGGCCGAUGCUACAGAUGCUGCUCGUGGUGCUUCAGAUAUUGUUCUCACUGCACCUGGAUUGAGUGUUAUCAUCAGUGCAGUGCUCACUAGCAGAGCUAUCUUCCAGAGAAUGAAGAACUACACCGUGCACAUUCUCUUAGUUUUUUUCUUACAUUAUGCC
rnacentral:lncRNA from 1 species